UACGAAGGGGGCUAGCGUUGCUCGGAAUCACUGGGCGUAAAGCGCACGUAGGCGGAUUGUUAAGUCAGGGGUGAAAUCCUGGAGCUCAACUCCAGAACUGCCCUUGAUACUGGCGGCCUUGAGUCCGGGAGAGGUGAGUGGAACUGCGAGUGUAGAGGUGAAAUUCGUAGAUAUUCGCAAGAACACCAGUGGCGAAGGCGGCUCACUGGCCCGGUACUGACGCUGAGGUGCGAAAGCGUGGGGAGCAAACAGG
rnacentral:rRNA from 1 species